rnacentral:rRNA from 1 species
AGUAACUGCGAGUGAAGCGGGAAAAGCUCAAAUUUGAAAUCUGGCAGUCUAUUUUUUCUUCUUUGGCUGUCCGAGUUGUAAUCUAGAGAAGUGCUUACCUGCACUGGACCAUGUAUAAGUCUCCUGGAAUGGAGCGUCACAGAGGGUGAGAAUCCCGUCUUUGACAUGGACUGCCAGUGUGUUGUGGUGUGCUCUCAAAGAGUCGAGUUGUUUGGGAAUGCAGCUCUAAAUGGGUGGUAAACUCCAUCUAAAGCUAAAUAUUGGCGAGAGACCGAUAGCGAACAAGUACCGUGAGGGAAAGAUGAAAAGGACUUUGGAAAGAGAGUUAAACAGUAUGUGAAAUUGUUGAAAGGGAAACGCUUGAAGUCAGUUAUGUUGGCUAGGGAUCAACCUAGCUGUCUUUUGCUGGGUGAAUUUCCUAGUCUGACAGGCCAACAUCAGUCUUGACUGCUGGAAAAGAGCAGAGGGAAUGUGGCACCUUCGGGUGUGUUAUAGCCCUUUGUCAUAUGUGGCGGUUGGGACUGAGGGAUGCAGCGUGCCGCGAGGCUGGGUUUCGACCACGUUCACGCUUAGGAUGUUGGCUUUUAAUGGCUUCAAUCGACCCGUCUUGAAACACGGACCAAGGAGUCUAACAUGCCUGCAAGUGUUUGGGUGGAAAACCCUUGCGCACAAUGAAAGUGAAAGUUGAGAUCCCUGUCAUGGGGAGCAUCGACGCCCGGACUUGAGCUUU